rnacentral:lncRNA from 1 species
GGAAUACGAAGGGAGAAUGAAACAAAACUGCUCCGCUUAGGGAACUUGGAAAGGAAAUUGAAAAGGCAAGGCACAGGCUGGAAGAAAAUAUUUGAAAAAGAUUUAUGUGAACUUCUUUCUGGAUUAUACAAAAUAUUUUUAGAUAUUCUUACAACUCUAAAAUAAGAUAACUCCUUAAAAAUCUAAAUUCUACCAAAGGAGAGAUAAAGAUGACGAAUACAUUCAAAGAUGCUGAAAAUCACUUAUUUAUUAUUAGGAAGUUACAAGCUAAAGCAUAAUGAGAUACCACUACAACCUACUAAACUGACUAAAAUUAAUCAGACUAACCAGGUGUUGGCAAGAAACAGGGACACUGAGACUCUCACACUGCUGGAAGGAAUGUAAAAUGCUAAAACUUCUUUGGAAAUGAGUUCAGUAACUUUUUAAACAGUUGAAAAUAGACCUAUCAUGCAAACCAGCAAUCCCACUUCCAGGUAUUUAUACAAGGAAAAUGACAACAUAUGCCCACAUAAAGACUUGUGCACAAAUGACCGUAGCAGCUUUGUGAUAAUUGCUAAAAACUAGAAACUUGUCAAGUGUCCAACAGGAUCGAAUACCAUAAGAGGAAUUCUGGACUGAAGAGUUAUGAAGUCAUUUCAGACACUUCCAGACAAUUUGUGUUAAUUAAAUUCUCACUGGUUGAGUUCCAUUCUACACUGGAAGAGCAUUUUUCCUGGAAAGGCUCCUCAAAAUGGUAAUAAAGGGUAAUUCUUUUA